rnacentral:rRNA from 1 species
GAUGAACGCUGGCGGCGUGCCUAAUACAUGCAAGUCGAGCGAAUGGAUUGAGAGCUUGCUCUUAUGAAGUUAGCGGCGGACGGGUGAGUAACACGUGGGUAACCUGCCCAUAAGACUGGGAUAACUCCGGGAAACCGGGGCUAAUACCGGAUCACAUUUUGAACCGCAUGGUUCGAAAUUGAAAGGCGGCUUCGGCUGUCACUUCUGGAUGGUCCCGCGUCGCAUUAGCUAGUUGGUGCGGUAACGGCUCACCAAGGCAACGAUGCGUAGCCGACCUGAGAGGGUGAUCGGCCACACUGGGACUGAGACACGGCCCAGACUCCUACGGGAGGCAGCAGUAGGGAAUCUUCCGCAAUGGACGAAAGUCUGACGGAGCAACGCCGCGUGAGUGAUGAAGGCUUUCGGGUCGUAAAACUCUGUUGUUAGGGAAGAACAAGUGCUAGUUGAAUAAGCUGGCACCUUGACGGUACCUAACCAGAAAGCCACGGCUAACUACGUGCCAGCCGCCGCCGUAA